rnacentral:tRNA from 3 species
UGGGUAGUUUUCCUAGUUGGUUAAGGAGACUUACUGUAAAUAAGUUAGCUAUCGCUACCGCAUGUUCGAAUCAUGCCUACCCAA